rnacentral:lncRNA from 1 species
AUGUAUAUCUAACAAGAAAAAAAUACCUUUGUUCUUUUUUUUUCUAAGACAGGGUCUUGUGAUUGCAGAUGACCUCAAACUCACUGUGCAGCAAAGAAUGGACGACCUUGAGUUUCUAAUCCUUCUGCUUCCACCUCCAGAGUGCUGGGACUGAAGGCCUGGUUUACAUGCAGUGCUAAGGCCAGAGUUCAGGCUUCUGUGCCUGCUAGACAAGGGCUCUAUCUCCCUAGCUACAAGCGGCCUUCUUUAUCCAGUGACUGAAACACUUAGGCCCUUUCGAUUUCAUUUUGGGAACCUUGCUCUCAGCUUUUGACUGCCAUAAAUGGUUUUGCUACAGAUUAUACCAUAUGGAGUUGAAACCAGCCAAAAACACACCAGGAAGUAAGUCUGAUGGAUAAUUUAUUGUCAGCUUGAUUGGAUGGAACACUCCAGGCAGCAGCAUGGCCAACCAUUGGAGAGAACUGACUGAGGGGAGAGACCCAAUCCACCCUGAUAGGAGCAACUAGUCACCACAGAGAGGAGCUGCUUUGCCAGCCACACCUUCCCAUCUAUGACAGGCGACUGGGCCCAAAUAAACCUCUCUUCCAUGAAGGUGCUGUUCUCUGG